rnacentral:rRNA from 1 species
CUACUCUAUGCGGUGGAUCACUCGGCUCGUGCUUCGAUGAAGAGCGCAGCCAGCUGCGUGAAUUAAUGUGAAUUGCAGGACACAUUGAACAUCGAUAUCUCGAACGCAUAUUGCGGCCUCGGGUAUUCUCGAGGCCACGCCUCUCUCAGGGUCG